CUCUUGCUGAAGAUCCCUGUCUACUGGAAGCCUUCUGAAGGUUGUCUUACAGCUGAAGGAGGGAAAAUAGAGCAGCAACAACUGAGGCAAGCUUUCAUCAGAGUUUUGAACACCGCACUACAAAUUGUAUGCCAAAGAAAUGCUUCCAUCUCACACUGUCCUCCAGACCAGAGGGAUUAUAUGGGCUUUCAGAAUCUUAUUAUACGUGGAGAAAUGCACAUAUCUUGCCUGAAGGACAUCUCAGAGAAAACUCGAGAACAGCUGCCUGGCAGAGGGCAGCGGUGGAUUCUUUGUGGACUGCUGAAGAAGGUUGGCACGAAUUACAAGGCUGAAGCACAAUCCAGAGCAGGAGGACAGAAGGGACGUCCCCAUGUUUGGAAUCAGCCUGCUCCACAGCUGGUGGCUGCAGCAGCACCAGAGAUGGGUGCUGCCAGGUGGGCGGUGGGACUGCUGCCCUACAGCCACGUCUGUCUGCCACCACCCCGCUCCUUUCCCAUUAGUGUUUCCCUCCAGAAUGACUGUGACUUCCAGGGGCACCUCUGGGAAUGUUUCUUUGGCACACGCACCAAAGGCACCUCUGAUUGUUUUGUUUGUUUCAAGAUGAGUUGUGUACCUGCUGUUUGCAGCCCCUGCCCCGAGGCCACGCUCACAGGCUGUCAGCUCCUGGAGCCGAGGAUCCGUCCCUUCACUGCCAUAGAAAGCAAAACCCCAACCUCGGUGAACUUUGGCAUAUUUUCCUAAUUGAUGCGAAUGAGAUGAGAGGGAAAACUGACUCCUGUGACCUCCACAGCAUAACUGUGUACUGUGUGUUGCAUGAAUAAAGGGGUGUGCCAUAGCUGCACAAAUGUGAACUG
ensembl:lncRNA